GCCGCGGUGGCGGAACUGGUAUACGCGCACGACUCAAAAUCGUGUGGGGAAACCCAUGCGGGUUCGAUUCCCGCCCGCGGCACCA
rnacentral:tRNA from 3 species